rnacentral:rRNA from 1 species
CAGUAGCCACGGGAAUACGGAGGGUGCAAGCGUUAAUCGGAAUUACUGGGCGUAAAGCGUGCGUAGGCGGUUUGUUAAGUCUGCUGUGAAAUCCCCGGGCUCAACCUGGGAAUGGCAGUGGAUACUGGCAAGCUAGAGUGUGUCAGAGGAUGGUGGAAUUCCCGGUGUAGCGGUGAAAUGCGUAGAGAUCGGGAGGAACAUCAGUGGCGAAGGCGGCCAUCUGGGACAACACUGACGCUGAGGCACGAAAGCGUGGGGAGCAAACAGGAUUAGAUACCCCUGUAGUCCUGUCUCUUAUACA